rnacentral:rRNA from 1 species
AGUCGAGCGGAUGANGGAGCUUGCUCCUGGAUUCAGCGGCGGACGGGUGANUANUGCCUAGGAAUCUGCCUGGUAGUGGGGGACAACGUUUCGAAAGGAACGCUAAUACCGCAUACGUCCUACGGGAGAAAGCAGGGGACCUUCGGGCCUUGCGCUAUCAGAUGAGCCUAGGUCGGAUUAGCUAGUUGGUGAGGUAAUGGCUCACCAAGGCGACGAUCCGUAACUGGUCUGAGAGGAUGAUCAGUCACACUGGAACUGAGACACGGUCCAGACUCCUACGGGAGGCAGCAGUGGGGAAUAUUGGACAAUGGGCGAAAGCCUGAUCCAGCCAUGCCGCGUGUGUGAAGAAGGUCUUCGGAUUGUAAAGCACUUUAAGUUGGGAGGAAGGGUUGUAGAUUAAUACUCUGCAAUUUUGACGUUACCGACAGAAUAAGCACCGGCUAACUCUGUGCCAGCAGCCGCGGUAAUACAGAGGGUGCAAGCGUUAAUCGGAAUUACUGGGCGUAAAGCGCGCGUAGGUGGUUUGUUAAGUUGGAUGUGAAAUCCCCGGGCUCAACCUGGGAACUGCAUCCAAAACUGGCAAGCUAGAGUAUGGUAGAGGGUGGUGGAAUUUCCUGUGUAGCGGUGAAAUGCGUAGAA